ACCAUUAAACACUAUAAUUAUUUUUCCUUCACCUGUACUCAGAAAUUUCUCCGAUUUGGUAUUAUUUGAACUCAAAUCUCCUUCAUCCUGAGUUGAGUCUGAGUUUACUCGCCGUCCGAGCUAUUGCAAAGAGGACUCAGAUCUGAUUUUGUAUCCCACGAUAUAGCGAUUAUGAAGCCAGAGAGAGAGACGAAGAGAGGAGUCUGGGUUCGAUAAAAUUGGCGGAGGGAGAAAGAAAGAGUCUUGGUUCUUACUCUUAUCUUAGUUAACAUCUUAUUGUUGACAUAUUUAUUUUAUGUCAACUAGAACAUGAUCUGACUUGUUACAACAUAUAUAAGUGUUAUCCAUUGGAUUGAAUUCUGCAAUAUUUAGGUUUGCAAAGAUAAAUUUCUUAGGAAGUUUGAAUUUGUUCUCACGGAUUAGGAUUUAGGACAAGUUUUUGGUUUCUAAACAACAUUGUGUAUUGUUCUUUCUUGUUGUGGUGUGUAAGGAGCAAAGGAUAGUGAAAGCAGAAGAGUGGGCUUCGUUAAUGGAGAUCCUUCUUAAGCCAUUGUCUGCUGCUUUCAGAGUUAUUUCCAAUUGCUUAUUGGUUAAUUUGCGAUGAUCUUCGACUCAAGUUGGAGAAUGAUUUCAUGAAAUCUCUUCAGGAUGAGCUGCUUGAAAUAAUUCAUGAAUCAUCAGAAUCAGGAUCUCUACCUAAUGGAAUGGUGGUGGUGAAUGAACUGCAACAACAACGAUACUUUGUCCAAAGAAGCAUCUGAGGUUAAUCAUCAUCUGAGUUACAUGUAUAUGUUCUAGAACUUAGAAGUUUGUCUCUAUUUUUUGGUGAUGUUAGUUUAUUUUAAUUAAGAUUUUUAUGUAAGACUUUAUGUUAUGUAAGACUUCAUUUUGUUAAUGUAAUA